rnacentral:rRNA from 1 species
GGGGAAUAUUGCACAAUGGAGGAAACUCUGAUGCAGCGAUGCCGCGUGAGGGAAGAAGGUUUUAGGAUUGUAAACCUCUGUCUUCAGGGACGAAAAAAGGACGGUACCUGAGGAGGAAGCUCCGGCUAACUACGUGCCAGCAGCCGCGGUAAUACGUAGGGAGCGAGCGUUGUCCGGAAUUACUGGGUGUAAAGGGAGCGUAGGCGGGAUCGCAAGUCAGAUGUGAAAACUAUGGGCUUAACCCAUAAACUGCAUUUGAAACUGUGGUUCUUGAGUGAAGUAGAGGUAAGCGGAAUUCCUAGUGUAGCGGUGAAAUGCGUAGAUAUUAGGAGGAACAUCAGUGGCGAAGGCGGCUUACUGGGCUUUAACUGACGCUGAGGCUCGAAAGCGUAGGGAGCAAACAGGAUUAGAUACCCUGGUAGUCCACGCCGUAAACGAUGAUUACUAGGUGUGGGGGGACUGACCCCUUCCGUGCCGCAGCAAACGCAAUAAGUAAUCCACCUGGGGAGUACGACCGCAAGGUUGAAACUCAAAGGAAUUGACGGGGGCCCGCACAAGCAGUGGAGUAUGUGGAUUAAUUCGAAGCAACGCGAAGAACCUUACCAGGUCUUGACAUCGUAUGCAUAGCUCAGAGAUGAGUGAAAUCUCUUCGGAGACAUAUAGACAGGUGGUGCAUGGUUGUCGUCAGCUCGUGUCGUGAGAUGUUGGGUUAAGUCCCGCAACGAGCGCAACCCUUACUGUUAGUUGCUACGCAAGAGCACUCUAGCAGGACUGCCGUUGACAAAACGGAGGAAGGUGGGGAUGACGUCAAAUCAUCAUGCCCCUUAUGACCUGGGCCUCACACGUGCUACAAUGGCUGUAAACAGAGGGAAGCAAAGCCGCGAGGUAGAGCGAACCCCUAAAAGCAGUCUUAGUUCGGAUUGUAGGCUGCAACCCGCCUACAUGAAGUCGGAAUUGCUAGUAAUCGCAGAUCAGCAUGCUGCGGUGAAUACGUUCCCG